rnacentral:rRNA from 1 species
UACGUAGGGGGCAAGCGUUGUCCGGAAUCAUUGGGCGUAAAGCGCGUGUAGGCGGUUCGGUAAGUCGGCUGUGAAAGUCCAGGGCUCAACCCUGGGAUGCCGGUCGAUACUGCCGGACUAGAGUUCGGAAGAGGCGAGUGGAAUUCCCGGGUGUAGCGGUGAAAUGCGCAGAUAUCGGGAGGAACACCAAUGGCGAAGGCAGCUCGCUGGGACGUUACUGACGCUGAGACGCGAAAGCGUGGGGAGCAACAGG